ensembl:misc_RNA 7SK 7SK RNA
UGAUGUGAGGAUGGCUACAACAUCUGUCACCACACUGAUCACCAGGGUUGGUUUGGCUGAUCUGGUUGGGAAGGCAGGUGUUCCCUUCCUCCCUCACCACUCAUGUGUGUCUCUCCUAAAGCAAUGCACUCUGUAUAAGAGGACGACGUUUCCAGUUUAGAGGAGGACCGUGCUUUGUUCAAGGGUAUACAAAUAGCUGCUCUCCCCUGCUAGAACCCCCAAACAAGCUCUCAGAAAGGAAGACAGUAGGACAAAAUUUAAAGUGUGAAUAUUUUAGGAUGUGGAUGUCGAGCUAACAACCAGCCACUCAAGCCACAAGGAGUCAGUCUUAAUUU